rnacentral:rRNA from 1 species
AUUGAACGCUGGCGGUAUGCUUUACACAUGCAAGUCGAACGGUAACAGGGUGCUUGCACCGCUGACGAGUGGCGAACGGGUGAGUAAUGCGUCGGAACGUGCCGAGUAGUGGGGGAUAACGCAGCGAAAGUUGUGCUAAUACCGCAUACGAUCUAAGGAUGAAAGCGGGGGAUCGCAAGACCUCGCGCGAUUGGAGGGGCCGAUAUCAGAUUAGGUAGUUGGCGGGGUAAAGGCGCAACAAGCCAACGAUCUGAAGCUGGUCUAAGAGGACGACCAGCCACACUGGAACUGGGACACGGUCCAGACUCCUACGGGAGGCAGCAGUGGGGAAUUUUGGACAAUGGAAGCAAGUCUGAUCCAUCCAUUCCGCGUGCAGGAUGAAGGCCCUCGGGUUGUAAACUGCUUUUGUACGGAACGAAAAGGUCUCUCUUAAUACGGGGGGCUCAUGACGGUACCGUAAGAAUAAGCACCGGCUAACUACGUGCCAGCAGCCGCGGUAA